CUGUGGUACAGAGUGCGUCCCUGUCCAGGUGUGGAUGCUUAACGACGAUAGCAAACGCACAGAGUGUUGGCGCUGGUAUUCCACCAAGAAGUUUUUCGUGAAUAUAGAUUACCGCUGACAUGAGGACAUAUUGUGAUUGGUACCAUAUAUCGUUUGGACUGCUCAUCAUCGUUCCACUCACCUACCAAAUGAGCAUACACAACGAGAGGUCGAUAUCAUGCGGACAGAACCCGAUGGCUGAUGUUAUGUUAUUAGCCAGAAACACAGCAGAGCCUGACGUUAGGAAGUUACUAACUGUCUGGCAAAUGGUUGACCGGUUUGGGUUCUUAGCGUGGCAGAGAAGAAUGCGACGGUUUGAAGAUUGCGCACGAAUAUCAGAGCAUGUCUACUGAAGACUCGAUCACGACUGCAGCUUUCUUGCAACUUCUAGUCUGUUAUUUUUGAACGAAAUUAUGUUAGGUUAUAUUAUAUAUUUUUAUUAUCGAGCACUCCGUGAGAUAAAGCGUUAAGAAUAUUAUAUGAAUCCAUAUUCAAAAUGUAAAAAAGUCAACUCAGGAACCUUUGUUUUUUAAUAAUUUUACCAUUGAACAUGCAUAUAUUUGUUUGCAGAGUGAAAUACUAGUUACGCGCGUAUGACGCAUUUAAUGUACGCAAUUAGAGGUAUAGUGCAAAAUAACAUUGCAACCUAUGACUUUUGUUUGAAUUUUUUAAUUCAAUUUUAGUUGAGAAUUUAAAUACACCCCAAACACACACACACACACACACA